GUGGACAUCACCAGGGAGUGCCUGCCGGAGCUGCAGGUGCCCGGAGGGUGCGCGAGCGCGUGCGGCAAGUUCGGCGGCGACACCUACUGCUGCCGGGGACAGUUCGAGCACAACUGCCCGCCGACGAACUACUCCAAGUUCUUCAAGGGCAAGUGCCCCGACGCCUACAGCUACGCCAAGGACGACCAGACCAGCACCUUCACCUGCCCCGCCGGAACCAACUACCAGAUCGUUCUCUGCCCCGCACGAAAUGAUUUACACAUGGAUCAGUAAUUAGAGGACGUUUCCUUGUAGUCUUCCUGACUUAUUAUGAUCAUCGAUCAUUUCUGUAUGUGCGUGCGUGCGUGGCUGGUGCGUGCCAUUCAGCGAAUAAAUGUAUAAAUGAAAUGGAAGUGUAAUUUCUUUGCGGUAUGGCAAUAAAUGAAAUGGAAGCGAAAAAAAUAAAGAAAUUAGCAUUGAUGAGAUCAAACCACAAGGCCAUUUAUAUGUUUCAAAAUAAAUUAGUGAACGUUAAUGACUUACUUUGCAGUAUGGCACUAGAAAGGUGUCCGCAUGUGGAUGAUUGACAAUAAAGAACGGGGAUAUGUGAACGAGAACAUGUAGUCUGAGAUGACCUCCUGGACUUCUGUGGUUUCCAGGUUGUGGCAGUACAUGUAAAAAGGAUCACGUAAGGACAUUUUACCAUGCGGGAGUAGGGGAUCUGUAGCUCGAUGAAGUACCCAGAGCCUCAUUAACUCUAGGGAGACUGCACUGAUGGAGAACAUAUUUGUAUAGAUUACCUCAUCAAAGGCCAAAUCAAUUCUAUCGGCCGGAGACUCUGGGACAAAACUAUAACCUUCUAUCACCUUGGCCGUGUAUCCAUGUUGACAGUUUUUGAUUUAUCUACCACAUGGGCGUGUAGAAUUUGAAGAUCAAUCGAGAGGGUCUCCAACAUAGAAUCUGAUAGAAACAGUUCCCCAGGCUUAUACAUGUUCAUUUUCCGCCUUCGGGGAUGACAACAUGCAUAGGUGGUUUGUCCGCAGAUUGUAUGCAACUGUCACGUGCAUUCUUCUCCCCUGAAUGUGGAUUAUCUGGCACUACGUCUCCGGUGCCGGCAUAUCCUGUUGGGCAACGUUGCAGAAAAUAAUAAAAAAAAUGUACGGUUUCACCAAGAUCCAUCUAUGAGUUCAUCUAAGCAACGAGUGAUAGGAGAGAGAUGCAUCUACAUACCACUUUGUAGAUCGUGUGUGGAAGCGUUCAAGAGAACGGGGUUGAGGUAGUCGUUCUCAUCGUGAUCCUAUCACCGGAGAUCCUAGCGCUGAACGGACGGCACCUCCGCGUUCAACACACGUACGGUCAGCGUGACGUCUCCUCCGUCUUGAUCCAGCAAGGGGGAAGGAGAGGUUGAUGAAGAUCCAGCAGCACGACGGCGUGGUGGUGGAUGCAGCAGAACUCCGGCAGGGCUUCGCCAAGCUAUUGCGGGAGGAGGAAGAGGUGUAGCAGGGGGGCGGGAGGCGCCAAGACAAGGGUGCGGCUGCCCUCCCUUCCCCCUCCUUUAUAUAGGCCCCCAGGGGGGGCACCGGCCCUGGAAGAUCCAUUCUCCCAAGGGGGGCGGCGGCCAGGGGGGUUGGAGUGCCCCCUAAGGCAUGUGGGGCGCGCCCCCCACCUAGGGUUUCCAACCCUAGGCGCAUGAGGGGCAAGGGGGGCGCACCAGCCCACUAGGGGCUGGUUCCCCUUCCACUUCAGCCCACGGGGCCCUUCGGGAUAGGUGGCCCCACCCGGUGGACCCCCGGGACCCUUCCGGUGGUCCCGGUACAAUACCGGGUGACCCCGAAACUUUCUCGAUGGCCGAAACAGCACUUCCUAUAUAUAAUUCUUUACCUCCGGACCAUUCCGGUACUCCUCGUGACGUCCGGGAUCUCAUCCGGGACUCCGAACAACAUUCGGUUUGCUGCAUACUAAUAUUCAUACAACCCUAGCGUCACUGAACCUUAAGUGUGUAGACCCUACGGGUUCGGGAGACAUGCAGACAUGACCGAGACGGCUCUCCGGUCAAGAACCAACAGCGGGAUCUAGAUACCCAUGUUGGAUCCCACAUCCUCGAUGAUCUCAUCGGAUGAACCACGAUGUCGAGGAUUCAAGCAACCCCGUAUACUAUUCCCUUUGUCGGACGGUAUGUUACUUGCCCGAGAUUCGAUCGUCAGUAUCCCAAUACCUCAUUCAAUCUCGCUGCCGGCAAGUCACUUUACUCGUACCGUAACGCAUGAUCCGGUGACCAGACACUUGGUCACUAUGAGCUCAUUAUGAUGAUGCACUACUGAGUGGGCCUAGUGAUACCUCUCUGUUAUACGGAGUGACAAAUCCGAGUCUCGAUCCGUGUCAACCCAACAGACACUUUCAGAGAUACCUGUAGUGCACCUUUAUAGUCACCCAGUUACGUUGUGACGUUUGGUACACCCAAAGCACUCCUACGGUAUCCGGGAGUUACACGAUCUCAUGGUCUAAGGAAGAGAUACUUGACAUUGGAAAAUCUUUAGCAAAACGAACUACACGAUCUUGUGCUAUGCUUAGGAUUGGGUCUUGUCCAUCACAUCAUUCUCCCAAUGAUGUGAUCCCGUUAUCAACGACAUCCAAUGUCCAUAGUCAGGAAACCAUGACUAUCUGUUGAUCAACGAGCUAGUCAACUAGAGGCUCACUAGGGACAUGUUGUGGUCUAAGUAUUCACACGUGUAUUACGAUUUCCGGAUAAUACAAUUAUAGCAUGAAUAAAAGACAACUAUCAUGAACAAAGAAAUAAAAUAAUAAUCCUUUUAUUAUUGCCUCUAGGGCAUAUUUCCAACAGUCUCCCACUUGCACUAGAGUCAAUAAUCUAGUUACAUUGUGAUGAAUCGAACACCCAUAGACUUCUGGUGUUGAUCAUGUUUUGCUCGCGGAAGAGGUUUAGUCAACGGAUCUGUGACAUUCAGAUCCGUAUGUACUUUGCAAAUAUCUAUGUCUCCAUCUUGAACAUUUUCACGGAUGGAGUUGAAACGACGCUUGAUGUGCCUGGUCUUCUUGUGAAACCUGGGCUCCUUGGCAAGGGCAAUAGCUUCAGUGUUGUCACAGAAGAGAGUGAUCGGCCCCGACGCAUUGGGUAUGACUCAUAGGUCGAUGAUGAACUAUUUCAUCCAUAUUGCUUCAUGCGCUGCCUCCGAGGCUGCCAUGUACUCUGCUUCACAUGUAGAUCCCGCCACGACGCUCUGCUUGCAACUGCACCAGCUUACUGCUCCACGAUUCAACAUAUACACGUAUCCGGUUUGUGACUUAGAGUCAUCCAGAUCUGUGUCGAAGCUAGCGUCGAUGUAACCCUUUACGACGAGCUCUUCGUCACCUCUAUAAACGAGAAACAUGUCCUUUGUCCUUUUCAGGUACUUCAGGAUAUUCUUGACCACUGUCCAGUGUUCCUUGCCGGGAUUACUUUGGUACCUUCCUACCAAACUUACGGCAAGGUUUACAUCUGGUCUGGUACACAGCAUGGCAUACAUAAUAGAUCCUAUGGCUGAGGCAUAGGGAAUGACACUCAUCUCUUCUUUAUCUUUUGCCAUGGUCGGGCAUUGAGCCGAGCUCAAUCUCACACCUUGCAAUGCAGGCAAGAACCCUUUCUUGGACUGAUCCAUUUUGAACUUCUUCAAAAUCUUAUCAAGGUAUGUGCUUUAUGAAAGACCUAUGAGGCAUCUCUAUCUAUCCCUAUAGAUCUUGAUGCCUAAUAUGUAAGAAGCUUCUCCAAGGUCCUUCAUUGAAAAACACUUAUUCAAGUAGGCCUUAAUGCUGUCCAAGAAUUAUAUAUCAUUUCCCAUAAAAAGUAUGUCAUCUACAUAUAAUAUGAGAAAUGCUACAGAGCUCCCACUCACUUUCUUGUAAACGCAGGCUUCUCCAUAAGUCUGCAUAAACCCAAACGCUUUGACCAUCUCAUCAAAGCGAAUGUUCCAACUCCGAGAUGCUUGCACCAGCCCAUAAAUGGAUCGCUGGAUCUUGCAUACUUUGUUAGCGUUCUUAGGAUCGACAAAACCUUCUGGCUGCAUCAUAUACAUCUCUUCCUUAAGAUAACAGUUAAGGAAUGCCGUUUUGACGUCCAUCUACCAUAUCUCAUAAUCAUAGUAUGCAGCAAUUGCUAACACGAUUCAGAUGGACUUAAGCUUCGCUACGGGAGAGAAAGUCUCGUCAUAGUCAACCCCUUGAACUUGCCGAUAACCCUUGGCGACAAGUCAAGCUUUAUAGAUGGUGACAUUACCAUCCGCGUCCGUCUUCUUCUUAAAGAUCCAUUUGUUUUCUAUCGCUCGCCGAUCAUCGGGCAAGUCAGUCAAAGUCCAUACUUUGUUUUCAUACAUGGAUUCUAUCUCGGAUUGCAUGGCUUCUAGCCAUUUGUUGGAAUUUGGGCCCGCCAUCGCUUCUUCAUAGUUCGAAGGUUCACCGUUGUCUAACAACAUGAUUUCCAGGACAGGGUUGCCAUACCACUCUGGUGUGGAACGUGUCCUCGUGGACCUACGAAGUUCAGUAGCAACUUGAUCCGAAGUACCUUGAUCAUCAUCAUUAAUUUCCUCUCCAGUCAGUGUAGGCACCACAGGAACAUUUUCCUGAGCUGCACUACUUUCCGGUUCAAGAGGUAGUACUUCACCAAGUUCUACUUUCCUCCCACUUACUCCUUUCGAGAGAAACUCUUUUUCCAGAAAGGAUCAGUUCUUGGCAACAAAGAUCUUACCUUCGGAUCUAAGGUAGAAGGUAUACCCAAUGGUUUCCUUGUGGUAUCCUAUGAAGACGCAUUUUUCCGACUUGGGUUCGAGCUUUUCAGGUUGAAGUUUCUUGACAUAAGCAUCGCAUCCCCAAACUUUUAGAAACGACAGCUUAGGUUUCUUCCCAAACCAUAAUUCAUAUGGUGUCGUCUCAACGGAUUUAGACGGUGCCCUAUUUAAAGUGAAUGUAGCUGUCUCCAGAGCGUAUCCCCAAAAUGGUAGCGGUAAAUCGGUAAAAGACAUCAUAGAUCGCACCAUAUCCAAUAGAGUGCAAUUACGACUUCGGACACACCGUUACGCUGAGGUGUUCCAGGCGGCGUGAGUUGUGAAACGAUUCCACAUUUCCUUAAGUGCGUACCAAAUUCAUGACUUAAAUAUUCUCCUCCACGAUCUGAUCGUAAGAAUUUUAUCUUUCGGUCACGUUGAUUCUCCACUUCAUUCUGAAAUUCCUUGAACUUUUCAUAGGUCUCAGACUUGUGUUUCAUCAAGUAGACAUACCCAUAUCUACUUAAGUCAUCAGUGAGAGUGAGAACAUAACGAUAUCCUCCACGAGCCUCAACGCUCAUUGGACCACACACAUCAGUAUGUAUGAUUUCCAAUAAGUUGGUUGCUCGCUCCAUUGUUCCGGAGAACGGAGUCUUGGUCAUUUUGCCUAUGAGGCAUGGUUCGCAUGUGUGAAAUGAUUCAUAAUUGAGAGACUCUAAAAGUCCAUCAGCAUGGAGCUUCUUCAUGCGCUUGACACCAAUGUAACCAAGGCGGCAGUGCCACAAGUAUGUGGGACUAUCGUUAUCAACUUUACAUCUUUUGGUAUUCAUGCUAUGAAUAUGUGUAAUAUUACGUUCAAGAUUCAUUAAGAAUAAACCAUUGACCAUCGGGGCAUGACCAUAAAACAUAUCUCUCAUAUAAAUAGAACAACCAUUAUUCUCGGGUUUAAAUGAGUAGCCUUCUCGUAUUAAACGAGAUCCAGAUACAAUGUUCAUGCUCAAACUUGACACUAAAUAACAAUUAUUGAGGUUCAUAACUAAUCCCGUGGGUAAAUGUAGAGGUAGCGUGCCGACGGCGAUCACAUCGACCUUGGAACCAUUCCCGACGUGCAUCGUCACCUCGUCCUUCGCCAGUCUCCGCUUAUUCCGUAGCUCCUGCUGUGAGUUACAAAUAUGAGCAACGGCACCGGUAUCAAAUACCAGGAGUUACUAUGAGUACUGGUAAGGUACACAUCAAUUACAUGUAUAUCACAUAUACCUUUAGUGUUGCUGGCCUUCUUGUCCGCUAAGUAUUUGGGGCAGUUUCGCUUCGAGUGACCCUUCCGUUUGCAAUAAAAGCACCCAGUCUUAGGCUUGGGUCCAUUCUUUGACUUCUUCCCGGUAACUGGCUUAUCGGGCGCGGCAACAUCUUUGCCGUCGUUCUUGAAGUUCUUCUUACCCUUGCCCUUCUCGAACUUAGUGGUCUUAUUGACUAUCAACACUUGAUGUUCUUUCUUGAUUUCAACCUCUGCUGACUUCAGCAUUGAAAAUACUUCAGGAAUGGUCUUUACCAUCCCCUGCAUAUUGUAGUUCAUCACAAAGCUCUUGUAGCUUGGUGGGAGCGACUGAAGGAUUCUGUCAAUGACCGCCUCGUCCGGGAGGUUGAUCUCCAGCUGGGACAGGCGAUUGUGCAACCCAGACAUUUUGAGUAUGUGCUCACUGACAGAACUAUUUUCCUCCAUCUUACAACUAUAGAACUUGUCGGAGACUUCAUAUCUCUCGACCCGGGCAUGAGCUUGAAAAACCAUUUUCAGCUCCUCGAACAUCUCAUAUGCUCCGUGUUGCUCAAAACUCUUUUGGAGCCCUGGUUCUAAGCUGUAAAGCAUGCCGCACUAAACGAGGGAGUAAUCAUCAGCACGUGACUGCCAAGCGUUCAUAAUGUCUUGGUUCUCUGGGAUGGGUGCUUCACCUAGCGGUCCUUCUAGGACAUAUGCUUUCUUGGCUGCUAUGAGGAUAAUCCUCAGGUUCCGGACCCAGUCCGAAUAGUUGCUGCCAUCAUCUUUCAGCUUGGUUUUCUCUAGGAACGCGUUGAAGUUCAUGUUGACAUGAGCGUUGGCCAUUUGAUCUACAAGACAUAUUUUGCAAAGAUUUUAGACUAAGUUCAUGAUAAUUAAGUUCAUCUAAUCAAAUUAUUUAAUGAACUCCCACUCAGAUUUGACAUCCCUCUAGUCAUCUAAGUGUUACAUGAUCCGAGUCGACUAGGCCGUGUACGAUCAUCACGUGAGACGGACUAGUCAUCAUGGGUGAACAUCUCCAUGUUGAUCGUAUCUUCCAUACGACUCAUGUUCGACCUUUCGGUCUCUUGUGUUCCGAGGCCAUGUCUGUACAUGCUAGGCUCGUCAAGUUAACCCUAAGUGUUUAUGCAUGUGUAAAACUGUCUUACACCCGUUGUAUGUGAACGUAAGGAUCUAUCACACUUGAUCAUCACGUGGUGCUUCAAAACGACAAACUUUAGCAACGAUGCACAGUUAGGGGGAACACUUUCUUGAAAUUAUUAUAAGGGAUCAUCUUAUUUACUACCGCCGUUCUAAGUAAACAAGAUGCAUAAAACAUAAUAAACAUCACGUGCAAUUAUAUAAAGUAGUGACAUGAUAUGGCCAAUAUCAUAUAGCUCCUUCGAUCUCCAUCUUCGGGGCUCCAUGAUCAUCUUCGUCACCGGCAUGACACCAUGAUCUCCAUCAUCGUGCCUCCAUGAAGUUGCUCGCCAACUAUUACUUCUACUACUAUAGCUAACGGUUUAGAAAUAAAGUAAAGUAAUUACAUGGCGUUAAAUCAUUGACACGCAGGUCAUACAAUAAUUAAGACAACUCCUAUGGCUCCUGCCGGUUGUCAUACUCAUCGACAUGCAAGUCGUGAUUCCUAUUACAAGAACAUGAUCUCAUACAUCACAAUAUAUCAUUCAUCAUUCAUCACAACUUCUGGCCAUAUCACAUCAUAUGACAAUUGCUGCAAAAACAAGUUAGACGUCCUCUAAUUGUUGUUGCAUCUUUUACAUGGCUGCAAUUGGGUUCUAGCAGUAACGCUUUCUUACAUACAAAUAACCACAACGUGAUUUUGUCAACUUCUAUUUACCCUUCAUAAGGACCCUUUUCAUCGAAUCCGCUCCAACUGAAGUAGGAAAGACAGAAACCCGCUAGCCACCUUAUGCAACUAGUGCAUGUCAGUCGGUGGAACCUGUCUCAUGUAAGCUUACGUGUAAGGUCGGUCCGGGCCGCUUCAUCCCACAAUACCGCUGAAGCAAGAAAAGACUAGUAGUGGCAAGCAAGUUGACAAGAUCUACGCCCACAACAGAUUUGUGUUCUACUCGUGCAAUAGAGAAUUACGCAUAGACCUAGCUCAAGAUGCCACUGUUGGGGAACGUUGCAGAAAAUAAUUUUUUUUCUACGGUUUCACCAAGAUCCAUCUAUGAGUUCAUCUAAGCAACGAGUGAUAGGAGAGAGAUGCAUCUACAUACCACUUUGUAGAUCGCGUGCGGAAGCGUUCAAGAGAACGGGGUUGAGGUAGUCGUUCUCGUCGUGAUCCUAUCACCGGAGAUCCUAGCGCCGAACGGACGACACUUCCGCGUUAAACAUGUUGGAAAUAUGCCCUAGAGGCAAUAAUAAAAGUAUUAUUAUAUUUCAUUGUUCAUGAUAAUUGUCUUUUAUUCAUGCUAUAACUGUAUUAUCCGGAAAUCGUAAUACACGUGUGAAUACUUAGACCACACAAUGUCCCUGGUAAGCCUCUAGUUGACCAGCUCGUUGUGAUCAAUAGAUAGUCAUGGUUUCCUGACUAUGGACAUUGGAUGUCAUUGAUAACGGGAUCACAUCAUUAGGAGAAUGAUGUGAUGGAGAAGACCCAAUCCUAAGCAUAGCAUAAAAGAUCGUGUAGUUCGUUUUGCUAGAGCUUUGCAAGUGUCAAGUAUCUCUUCCUUCGACCAUGAGAUCGUGUAACUCCCGGAUACCGUAAGAGUGCCUUGGGUGUACCAAACGUCACAACGUAACUGGGUGACUAUAAAGGUGCAUUGCAGGUAUCUCCGAAAGUAGCUGUUGGGUUGACACGGAUCGAGACUGGGAUUUGUCACUCCGUAUGACGGAGAGGUAUCUCUGGGCCCACUCAGUAAUGCAUCAUCAUAUUGAGCUCAAUGUGACCAAGGUGUUGGACACGGGAUCAUGCAUUACGGUACGAGUAAAGUGACUUGCCGGUAACGAGACUGAACAAGGUAUUGGGAUACCGACGAUCGAGUCUCGGGCAAGUAACGUACCGAUUGACAAAGGGAAUUGCAUACAGGGUUUGAUCGAAUCCUCGACAUAGUGGUUCAUCCGAUGACAACAUCGAGGAGCAUGUGGGAGCCAUCAUGGGUAUCCAGAUCCCGCUGAUGGUUAUUGACUGAGAGAGUCUCGGUCAUGUCUGCAUGUCUCCCGAACCCGUAGGGUCUACACACUUAAGGUUCAGUUACGCUAGGGUUAUAGGGAUAUGUAUAUGCAGUAACCCGAAUGUUGUUCGGAGUCCCGGAUGAGAUCCCGGACGUCACGAGGAGUUCCGGAAUGGUCCGGAGGUAAAGAUUUAUAUAUGGGAAGUCCUGUUUCGGGCAUCGGGACAAGUUUCGGGGUUAUCGGUAUUGUACCGGGACCACCGGAAGGGUCCCGGGGGUCCACCGGGUGGGUCCACCUGUCCCGGGGGGCCACAUGGGCUGUAAGGGGGUGCGCCUUGGCCUAAUGGGCCAAGGGCACCAGCCCCACAUAGGCCCAUGCGCCUAGGGUUUAAGGGGGCAAGAGUCCUAGGAGGGUAAGGCACCUCCUAGGUGCCUUGGGGGGAGGGAAAACCCCGCUUGGCCGCCGCACCCCCUAGGAGAUUGGAUCUCCUAGGGCCGGCCACCCCCCCUUGGCACCCCUAUAUAUAGUGGGGGAGAGGAGGGACUUCAUACCUGAACGCCCUGGCCUUUGGUUGCCUCCUUCUCCCUCCCCAACACCUCCUCCACCUCCAUAGUGCUUAGCGAAGCUCUGCCGGAGUACUGCAGCUCCACCAACACCACGCCGUCGUGCUGCUGCUGGUGCCAUCUCCCUCAACCUCUCCUCCCUUCCUUGCUGGAUCAAGAAGGAGGAGACGUGGCUGUUCCGUACUGUGUUGAACGCGGAGGUGCCGUCCGUUUGGCACUGGUCAUCGGUGAUUUGGAUCACGUCGAGUACGACUAGAUCAUCACCUUGCAAGCUUCCGCACGCGAUCUACAAGUGGUAUGUAGAUGCAAACUCUCUCCCUAGACUCGUUGCUUAGAUGAACUCAUAGAUGGAUCUUGGUGAAACCGUAAGAAAAAUUUUAAUUUUCUGCAACGUUCCCCAACAGUGGCAUCAUGAGCUAGGUCUAUGCGUAGUUCUCUUUGCACGAGUAGAACACAACUUUGUUGUGGGCGUGGAUUUUGUCAUCUUACUUGCCUCUACUAGUCUUUUCUUGCUCAACGGUAUUGUGGGAUGAAGCGGCCCGGACCAACCUUACACGUACACUUACGUGAGACCGGUUCCACCGACUGACAUGCACAAGUUGCAUAAGGUGGCUGGCGGGUGUCUGUCUCUCCCACCUUAGUUGGAGCGGAAUCGAUGAACAGGGCCCUUAUGAAGGGUAAAUAGAAGUUGACAAAAUCACGUUGUGGUGAUUCGUAGGUAAGAAAACUUUCUUGCUAGAACCCAAUUGCAGCCACGUAAAAGAUGCAACAACAAUUAGAGGACGUCUAACUUGUUUUUGCAGCGAUUGAUCAUGUGAUGUGAUAUGGCCAGAAGUUGUGAUGAAUGAUGAAUUGUGAUGUAUGAGAUCAUGUUCUUUGUAAUAGGAUUCACGACUUGCAUGUCGAUGAGUAUGACAACCGGCAGGAGCCAUAGGAGUUGUCAUUAUUUUUUGUAUGACCUGCGUGUCAUUGAAUAACGCCAUGUAAACUACUUUACUUUAUUGCUAAACGUUAGUCAUAGAAGUAGAAGUAGUCGUUGGCGUGACAACUUCAUGAAGACACGAUGAUGGAGAUCAUGAUGAUGGAGAUCAUGGUGUCAAGCCGGUGACAAGAUGAUCAUGGAGCCCCGAAGAUGAAGAUCAAUGGAGCUAUAUGAUAUUGGCCAUAUCAUGUCACAACUAUAAUUGCAUGUGAUGUUUAUUAUGUAUUAUGCAUCUUGUUUACUUAGGACGACGGUAGUAAAUAAGAUGAUCCCUUAUAAAAUUUCAAGAAGUGUUCUCCCCUAACUGUGCACCGUUGCUACAGUUCGUCGUUUCUAAGCACCACGUGAUGAUCGGGUGUGAUGGAUUCUUACGUUCACAUACAACGGGUGUAAGACAGUUUUACACAGCGAAAACACUUAGGGUUAACUUGACGAGCCUAGCAUGUGCAGACAUGGCCUCGGAACACGGAGACCGAAAGGUCGAACACGAGUCGUAUGGAAGAUACGAUCAACAUGAAAAUGUUCACCGAUGAUGACUAGUCCGUCUCACGUGAUGAUCGGACACAGACUAGUCGACUCGGAUCGUGUAACACUUAGAUGACUAAAGGGAUGUCUAAUCUAAGUGGGAGUUCAUAAUUUGAUUAGAACUUUAUUAUCAUGAACUUAGUCUAAAACCUUUGCAAAUAUGUCUUGUAGAUCAAUGGCCAACGCUAAUGUCAACAUGAACUUCAACGCGUUCCUAGAGAAAACCAAGCUGAAAGAUGAUGGCAGCAACUAUACGGACUGGGUCCGGAACCUGAGGAUCAUCCUCAAUAGCUGCCAGGAAACAAUAUGUCCUAGAAGGACCGCUAGGUGACGCUCCCAUCCCAGAGAACCAAGACAUUAUGAAUGCUUGGCAGUCUCGCACUGAUGAUUACUCCCUCGUUCAGUGCGGCAUGCUUUACAGCUUAGAACCGGGGUCCAAAACCGUUUUGAGCAUCACGGAGCAUAUGAGAUGUUCGAAGAGCUGAAACUAGUUUUUCAAGCUCAUGCCCGGGUCGAGAGAUAUGAUGUCUCCGACAAGUUCUACAGUUGUAAGAUGGAGGAGAACAGUUCUGUCAGUGAGCACAUCCUGAAGAUGUCUGGGUUGCACAACCGUAUGACCCAGGUGAACAUUAACCUCCCAGAUGAGGCGGUCAUUGACAGAAUCCUCCAGUCGCUCCCACCAAGCUACAAGAGCUUUGUGAUGAACUACAACAUGCAGGGAAUGGAAAAGACCAUUCCUGAAGUGUUCUCGAUGCUGAAGUCAGCAGAGGCUGAAAUCAAGAAAGAACAUCAAGUGUUGAUGGUCAAUAAGACCACUAAGUUCAAGAAAGGCAAGGGUAAGAAGAACUUCAAGAAGGACGGCAAAGAUGUUGCCGCGCCUGGUAAGCCAGUUACCGGGAAGAAGUCAAAGAAUGGACCCAAGCCUGAGACUGAGUGCUUUUAUUGCAAGGGGAAGGGUCACUGGAAGCGGAACUGCCCCAAAUACUUAGCGGAUAAGAAGGCCGGCAACACCAAAGGUAUAUUUGAUAUACAUGUGAUUGAUGUGUACCUUACCAGUACUCGUAGUAACUCCUGGGUAUUUGAUACCGGUGCCGUUGCUCAUAUUUGUAACUCACAUCAGGAGCUGCGGAAUAAACGGAGACCGGCGAAGGACGAGGUGACGAUGCGCGUCGGGAAUGGUUCCAGAGUCGAUGUGAUCGCCGUCGGCACGCUGCCUCUACAUUUACCUACGGGAUUAGUUUUGAACCUUAAUAAUUGUUAUUUAGUGCCAAGUUUGAGCAUGAACAUUGUAUCUGGAUCUCGUUUAAUACGAGAUGGCUACUCAUUUAAGUCUGAGGAUAAUGGUUGUUCGAUUUAUAUGAGAGAUAUGUUUUAUGGUCAUGCUCCGAUGGUCAAUGGUUUAUUCUUAAUGAAUCUCGAGCGUAAUAUUACACAUGUUCAUAGUGUAGAUGCCAAAAGAUUUAAAGUUGAUAACGAUAGUCCCACAUACUUGUGGCACUGCCGCCUUGGUCACAUUGGUGUCAAGCGCAUGAAGAAGCUCCAUGCCGGUGGACUUUUAGAGUCUCUUGAUUAUGAAUCGUUUGACACGUGCGAACCAUGCCUCUUAGGUAAAAUGACCAAGACUCCGUUCUCCGGAACAAUGGAGCGAGCAACCAACUUGGUGGAAAUCAUACAUACCGAUGUGUGCGGUCCAAUGAGCGUUGAGGCUCGCGGAGGAUAUCGCUAUGUUCUCACUCUCACAGAUGACUUGAGUAGAUAUGGGUAUAUCUACUUAAUGAAACACAAGUCUGAGACCUUUGAAAAGUUCAAGGAAUUUCAGAAUGAGGUGGAGAAUCAACGUGACCGAAAGAUAAAAUUCUUACGAUCAGAUCGUGGAGGAGAAUACUUAAGUCACGAAUUUGGUACACACUUAAAGAAAUGUGGAAUCGUUUCACAGCUCACGCCGCCUGGAACACCUCAGCGAAACGGUGUGUCCGAACGUCGUAAUCGCACUCUAUUGGAUAUGGUGCGGUCUAUGAUGUCUCUUACCGAUUUACCGCUAUCAUUUUGGGGAUACGCUCUAGAGACAGCUACAUUCACUUUAAAUAGGGCACCGUCUAAAUCCGUUGAGACGACACCGUAUGAAUUAUGGUUUGGAAAGAAACCUAAGCUGUCGUUUCUAAAAGUUUGGGGAUGCGAAGCUUAUGUCAAGAAACUUCAACCUGAAAAGCUCGAACCCAAGUCGGAAAAAUGCGUAUUCAUAGGAUACCCUAAGGAAACUGUAGGGUAUACCUUCUACUUAAGAUCCGAAGGCAAGAUCUUUGUUGCCAAGAACGGAUGCUUUCUGGAAAAAGAGUUUCUCUCGAAAGAAGUAAGUGGGAGGAAAGUAGAACUCGAUGAAGUACUACCUCUUGAGCGGGCUAGUGACGCAGCACAGGAAACCGUUCCUGUGAUGCCCACACCAACUGAAGAGGAAAACCAUGAUAAUGAUCAAGGGACUUCGGAUCGAGUUACUGCUGAACUUCGUAGGUCCACAAGGACACGUUCCGUACCAGAGUGGUACGGCAACCCUGUCCUGGAAAUCAUGUUGUUAGACAACAAUGAACCUUCGAACUAUGAAGAAGCAAUGGCGGGCCCGGAUUCCAACAAAUAGCUUGAAGCCAUGAAAUCCGAGAUAGAAUCCAUGUAUGAAAACAAAGUAUGGACUUUGACAGACUUGCCCGAUGAUCGGCGAGCGAUAGAAAACAAAUGGAUCUUUAAGAAGAAGACGGACGCGGAUGGUAAUGUUACCAUCUAUAAAGCUCGACUUGUCGCUAAGGGUUAUCGACAGGUUCAAGGGAUUGACUACGACGAGACAUUCUCUCCCGUAGCGAAGCUAAAGUCCGUCCGAAUCAUGUUAGCAAUUGCCGCAUACUAUGAUUAUGAGAUAUGGCAGAUGGACGUCAAAACAGCAUUCCUUAACGGGCAUCUUAAGGAAGAACUGUAUAUGAUGCAGCCGGAAGGUUUUGUCGAUCCUCGGAACGCUAACAAAGUAUGCAAGCUCCAGCGAUCCAUUUAUGGACUGGUGCAAGCAUCUCGGAGUUGGAACAUUCGCUUUGAUGAGAUGAUCAAAGCGUUUGGGUUUAUGCAGACUUAUGGAGAAGCCUGCGUUUACAAGAAAGUGAGUGGGAGCUCUAUAGCAUUUCUCAUAUUAUAUGUAGAUGACAUACUCCUGAUGGGAAAUAAUAUAGAAUUUCUGGACAGCAUUAAGGCCUACUUGAAUAAGUGUCUUUCAAUGAAGGACCUUGGAGAAGCUGCUUAUAUAUUAGGCAUCAAGAUCUAUAGAGAUAGAUCGAGACGCCUCAUAGGUCUUUCACAAAGCACAUACCUUGAUAAGAUUUUGAAGAGAUUCAGAAUGGAUCAGUCCAAGAAGGGGUUCUUGCCUAUGUUACAAGGUAUGAGACUGAGCUCAGCUCAGUCACCGACCACGGCAAAAGAUAAAGAAGAGAUGAGUGUCAUCCCCUAUGCUUCAGCCAUAGGAUCUAUUAUGUAUGUCAUGCUGUGUACCAGACCCGAUGUAAACCUUGCCGUAAGUUUGGUAGCAAGAUACCAAAGUAAUCCCGGCAAGGAACACUGGACAGCGGUCAAGAAUAUCCUGAAGUACCUGAAAAGGACAAAGGACAUGUUUCUCGUUUAUGGAGGAGACGAAGAGCUCGUCGUAAAGGGUUACGUCGACGCUAGCUUCGACUCAGAUCUGGAUGACUCUAAGUCACAAACCGGAUACGUGUAUAUGUUGAAUGGUGGAGCAGUAAGCUGGUGCAGCUGCAAGCAGAGCGUCGUGGCGGGAUCUACGUGUGAAGCGGAGUACAUGGCAGCCUCGGAGGCAGCACAUGAAGCGAUUUGGGUGAAGGAGUUCAUCACCGACCUAGGAGUCAUACCCAAUGCGUCGGGGCCGAUCAAACUCUUCUGUGACAACACUAGAGCUAUUGCCCUCGCAAAGGAGCCCAGGUUUCACAAGAAGACCAGGCACAUCAAGCGUCGUUUCAACUCCAUCCGUGAAAAUGUUCAAGAUGGAGACAUAGAGAUUUGCAAAGUGCACACGGAUCUGAAUGUUGCAGAUCCGCUGACUAAACCUCUCUCGCGUGCAAAACAUGAUCAACACCAGAACUCUAUGGGUGUUCGAUUCAUCACAAUGUAACUAGAUUAGUGACUCUAGUGCAAGUGGGAGACUGUUGGAAAUAUGCCCUAGAGGCAAUAAUAAAAGUAUUAUUAUAUUUCAUUGUUCAUGAUAAUUGUCUUUUAUUCAUGCUAUAACUGUAUUAUCCGGAAAUCGUAAUACACGUGUGAAUACUUAGACCACACAAUGUCCCUGGUAAGCCUCUAGUUGACCAGCUCGUUGUGAUCAAUAGAUAGUCAUGGUUUCCUGACUAUGGACAUUGGAUGUCAUUGAUAACGGGAUCACAUCAUUAGGAGAAUGAUGUGAUGGAGAAGACCCAAUCCUAAGCAUAGCAUAAAAGAUCGUGUAGUUCGUUUUGCUAGAGCUUUGCAAGUGUCAAGUAUCUCUUCCUUCGACCAUGAGAUCGUGUAACUCCCGGAUACCGUAAGAGUGCCUUGGGUGUACCAAACGUCACAACGUAACUGGGUGACUAUAAAGGUGCAUUGCAGGUAUCUCCAAAAGUAGCUGUUGGGUUGACACGGAUCGAGACUGGGAUUUGUCACUCCGUAUGACGGAGAGGUAUCUCUGGGCCCACUCGGUAAUGCAUCAUCAUAUUGAGCUCAAUGUGACCAAGGUGUUUGACACGGGAUCAUGCAUUACGGUACGAGUAAAGUGACUUGCCGGUAACGAGACUGAACAAGGUAUUGGGAUACCGACGAUCGAGUCUCGGGCAAGUAACGUACCGAUUGACAAAGGGAAUUGCAUACAGGGUUUGAUCGAAUCCUCGACAUAGUGGUUCAUCCGAUGACAACAUCGAGGAGCAUGUGGGAGCCAUCAUGGGUAUCCAGAUCCCGCUGAUGGUUAUUGACUGAGAGAGUCUCGGUCAUGUCUGCAUGUCUCCCGAACCCGUAGGGUCUACACACUUAAGGUUCAGUUACGCUAGGGUUAUAGGGAUAUGUAUAUGCAGUAACCCGAAUGUUGUUCGGAGUCCCGGAUGAGAUCCAGAACGUCACGAGGAGUUCCGGAAUGGUCCGGAGGUAAAGAUUUAUAUAUGGGAAGUCCUGUUUCGGGCAUCGGGACAAGUUUCGGGGUUAUCAGUAUUGUACCGGGACCACCGGAAGGGUCCCGGGGGUCCACCGGGUGGGUCCACCUGUCCCGGGGGGCCACAUGGGCUGUAAGGGGGUGCGCCUUGGCCUAAUGGGCCAAGGGCACCAGCCCCACAUAGGCCCAUGCGCCUAGGGUUUAAGGGGGCAAGAGUCCUAGGAUGGUAAGGCACCUCCUAGGUGCCUUGGGGGGAGGGAAAACCCCCCUUGGCCGCCGCACCCCCUAGGAGAUUGGAUCUCCUAGGGCCGGCCACCCCCCCUUGGCACCCCUAUAUAUAGUGGGGGAGAGGAGGGACUUCAUACCUGAACGCCCUGGCCUUUGGUUGCCUCCUUCUCCCUCCCCAACACCUCCUCCACCUCCAUAGUGCUUAGCGAAGCUCUGCCGGAGUACUGCAGCUCCACCAACACCACGCCGUCGUGCUGCUGCUGGUGCCAUCUCCCUCAACCUCUCCUCCCUUCCUUGCUGGAUCAAGAAGGAGGAGACGUGGCUGUUCCGUACGUGUGUUGAACGCGGAGGUGCCGUCCGUUUGGCGCUGGUCAUCGGUGAUUUGGAUCACGUCGAGUACGACUACAUCAUCACCUUGCAAGCUUCCGCACGCGAUCUACAAGUGGUAUGUAGAUGCAAACUCUCUCCCUAGACUCGUUGCUUAGAUGAACUCAUAGAUGGAUCUUGGUGAAACCGUAAGAAAAAUUUUAAUUUUCUGCAACGUUCCCCAACAAAACACACGUACGGUCAGCAUGACGUCUCCUCCGUCUUGAUCCAGCAAGGGGGAAGGAGAGGUUGAUGAAGAUCCAGAAGCACGACGGCGUGGUGGUGGAUGCAGCAGAACUCCGGCAGGGCUUCGCCAAGCUAUCGCGGGAGGAGGAAGAGGUGUAGCAGGGGGAGGGAGGCGCCAAGACACAGGGUGCAGCUGCCCUCCCUCCCCCCAUCCUUUAUAUAGGCCCCCAGGGGGGCGCCGGCCCUGGGAGAUCCAAUCUCCCAAGGGGGGCGGCGGCCAAGGGGGUUGGAGUGCCCCCCAAGGCAUGUGGGGCGCGCCUCCCACCUAGGGUUUCCAACCCUAGGCGCAGGGGGGCCCAAGGGGGGCGCACCAGCCCACUAGGGGCUGGUUCGCCUCCCACUUCAGCCCACGGGGCCCUCCGGGAUAGGUGGCCCCACCCGGUGGACCCCCGGGACCCUUCCGGUGGUCCCGGUACAAUACCGGGUGACCCCGAAACUUUCCCGAUGGCCGAAACAGCACUUCCUAUAUAUAAUUCUUUACCUCCGGACCAUUCCGGAACUCCUUGUGAUGUCCGGGAUCUCAUCCGGGACUACAAACAACAUUCGGUUUGCUGCAUACUCAUAUUCAUACAACCCUAGCGUCACCGAACCUUAAGUGUGUAGACCCUACGGGUUCGGGAGAAAUGCAGACAUGACCGAGACGGCUCUCCGGUCAAUAACCAACAGCGGGAUCUGGAUACCCAUGUUGGCUCCCACAUACUCCUCGAUGAUCUCAUCGGAUGAACCACGAUGUCGAGGAUUCAAGCAACCCCGUAUACUAUUCCCUUUGUCGGACGGUAUGUUACUUGCCCGAGAUUCGAUCGUCGGUAUCCCAAUACCUCGUUCAAUCUCACUGCCGGCAAGUCACUUUACUCGUACCGUAAUGCAUGAUCCCGUGACCAGACACUUGGUCACUAUGAGCUCAUUAUGAUGAUGCACUACCGAGUGGGCCCAGUGAUACAUCUCCGUUAUACGGAGUGACAAAUCCCAGUCUCAAUCCGUGUCAACCCAACAGACACUUUCGGAGAUACCUGUAGUGCACAUUUAUAGUCACCCAGUUACAUUGUGACGUUUGGUACACCCAAAGCACUCCUACGGUAUCCGGGAGUUACACGAUCUCAUGGUCUAAGGAAGAGAUACUUGACAUUGGAAAAGCUCUAGCAAAACGAACUACACGAUCUUGUGCUAUGCUUAGGAUUGGGUCUUGCCCAUCACAUCAUUCUCCCAAUGAUGUGAUCCCGUUAUCAACAACAUCCAAUGUCCAUAGUCAGGAAACCAUGACUAUGUGUUGAUCAACGAGCUCGUCAACUAGAUGCUCACUAGGGACAUGUUGUGGUCUAAGUAUUCACACGUGUAUUAAGAUUUCCGGAUAAUACAAUUAUAGCAUGAAUAAAAGACAACUAUCAUUAACAAAGAAAUAUAAUAAUAAUCCUUUUAUUAUUGCCUCUAGGGCAUAUUUCCAACAUAUCCUUGGGGAAUCUCCUCUAUAUCAUUCAUUGGCCACUUAAGUAGGUGGCUCAGGGUCACUUUCGAUAACAUAUUGACACCGUCGGCAGCAGCGAGUUGUCAUGCCUUUCGUGUUACCCUCGAACCUACAUGAUUUUGAGUGGGUCACCUGACGAAGACGACGAAGGCGAGUGCGUCGCCCCGGCCGCAUGCCCUCUUCAUCGCCUCGCCUUGCUGGCCGUUGUCCGCGGCUAGAUUGCUCGGUUUUUGGUCUUCUGGUCGAGCCUCCAGGAUCUACAACUGGUCGCUGACAUAGAGAUGACAGACUUCGCUUGGACCGCAUGGCCCCGGCCUUGUCCAGCCCGUCCCAUGAAUGAUCAUGCAGACACCAGAAUACGAGGCCAUACCAUGGUACUACCUCUCUCUCAGCUUACAGGGCGUGCGCGUACCCCUAGGUUGUCAAUUUGACCAACCUAAUACAAGUCAUAUAUUACAAAAAUUAUACCGACAUAAACUUUGAAGUUUCUACUUUCAAAAGAUAUAAUUUUUGUGUUAUAUAGUUUAUAUUAGGAUGAUAUAAUUGGCAACCUAGGUAUACGCGCAGGACUUGUAACCUGAAACGGAGGUAGUAAGUAUUCAACUCCAUCGAACUCUCUUAUUGACAUCACGCCAUGUCCAUUCUUUUCAAAAAAAAGCUAGCUAAUUAAGUAAAUUCCUGCCGCCGCCGGCGGCAUGCAACCAGCGUAGGCUCUGACUUUUGGCAGCGUUGGGAUGACAGUGCGUUGGGAGGAGUUGGGAUGGAGGACUUUCAAAGGGUGCCAGGCUGCCAGCCUGCACGCAGCGUCUGGAUGGCCAAGAACAUGGGGCGGCGACUGGAUUAUUAUUUAAGCGAUGGAUGGCCGGCAUUGGGGACGGAGCCACGGAGGGCUGUAGCGGCGGUCGGCUGCAAUCAGUCUAAUUACUUAGACGAAACAUAAUUACCAAUAUGUCCUUAAGCAAAAAUCUGACGGUCUCAAGCUGACCAUUAGAUUAACUAAAUACUACCCCAUUACGUUGAGUAGUAUGAUGUACCGUAAAAUUUCCCCCAUUCAAAUCCCCCCGGCCCUGGGGGUAUGGCCGGGGGGCGACGGCCCAGGGCCCAGGCCGGAGGGGGGCCAUGAUGAAGUAGGUAAGAAAAAAUAAGGCCCAUCAGAUAGAGCUAGUAGCGAUUAGUCAUUGGGCCAGACGAAGGCACGGCGCCACAGCCGCUCCUUUCGCUUAUGUGAAACAAAUCAGACAAGAUCUCAUCGAGUCAUAGUUUUGCUAAUUAGCUCGUGCAUUCGUUGCUCGUCGGUUCGUCUUCCUUGUUCGUCCUCUUCUCGAUCGUCGGCCUGUCGCUCGGCGCCUUGGCCAGUUGUCGUGGCUGCGCGCGCCGCGCAUCAGUCCGGCCAUUUGGCAUAUCCAGCAAGGAGGUAAUACGCACCACGUUCCUGAUCCACCCUCCAAACCCCAAUUUUUAGUAGUUUUUUGUUUUAUUCUUUAGUACAUGGAGUAAUUUCAGUGCAUAAUUUUCUAAUAAAAUCUUUCACAGUACGUAACCGCCCUAUUUUUUUAUCAUUCCGCGUACUUGUCUAGGGUUCCAAUCAUCCGAUAUAUAAAUUUCUGACAUUAUCAUGCCAUGUUGCCUAAAAAGCAUUUGUCGGUUACUGAAAGUAGGAGAAAAAAGAAAGAAAGUGAUCCGAAAAUUCGAACCGAAAGGGUUCUUCGAAUUUGGUCCUACUUUGAGGUUAUCAUGUCAUGUUAGUUUCAUUUUAGUAUAUUUUUAGUAUUUUUAUCAUAAUAUGGCUAUCUAACAAUUAUUAUAGUCAUCGAAUCUCAGACUAAAGAUGUUUAUGUAUCACCCACACACAUACAUAUAUAAGUAUGAUCUUAGGACAUAGGGGCCAUGUCGUCGAGUUCGCCUAGGGCCUCCUGAAACACAGGGCUGGCCCUGGUGCCUGGAUGGAUUUGGGGGCGCACCGGCUGCAACUUCGAUGCCAGCGGCCGCGGGUCGUGCAUCACGGCAAUUGCGGUGGCGUGCUGCCACCGGUGAGAAGCCACCCGCGAUGCUCGCCGAGUACACGCUAGGUAAGGGCGGCAGCCCUGACUUCUAUGACAUCUCCCUCGUCGACGGAUUCAACGUGCCCAUGAGCUUUGGGCCGGUCGGCAGCAGCUGUCACGUGAUAAGUUGUGCCGCGGACAUCAACGCAAAGUGCCCGUCGGAGCUGAAGGUCGACGGAGGCUGUGUGAGUGCGUACAUCAAGUUCGGCACCCCCCAGUACUGCUGCACGCCGCCGCUUACGCCGUCGACCUGUGGGUCGACGAACUACUCGCUCUUCUUCAAGGGGCACUGUCCGGACGCCUAAGGCUACGCCUACGAGAAGAGCAGCACCUUCACCUGCCACGUCCGAUCAGACUACCAAGUCACCUUCUGCCCAUAGAGGCGAUUGGGAUUCAAUUUACUUCGAUGGUUAAGUCUGUAAUUUAAUAGCGUUUCCAAUGUAAUAAUGGAAAUAAUGAUGACCGAUGAUUCCACAAAAAAAAUCUAUUGAAAAACUUUAUUGAGAAAAUUUGUUUGACAACAUUCUUUUUCUUUUGUGAGGAUAGAAUAGUCAACUUCUUUGUUUCGAGGACGAACAUACUUCUCUCUUUAAUCCAUGUUAAAUCAGCAACAAUUAAUAUAAAUCGAAGGGAGUAUAUGAAACAAGGCCUGCCCAAGUUUAGUUACCUUUUCUGAAGAUAGUAACUAACCGUGAAUCUCGUAUUUCCUAUAUAACUCUCGUUGCCUCGGUUUGUCUACGAGACAUCUUAUGUGACGCUCACCAUGUCUAACAGGUGUCUAACAGUAGCGAGCUGGGCCACCGGCCCAUAAACAAAGUACUGCUGCAGUACCUAAACACUGAUUAAGAAUCUGAAUGCAGGACCAAGUUCAAUGACCAUAAAUAAAGGAUAUUAAAGCAAAUAUGUCGUCCAUUGAAGAUGUUAGGGGUAAAGCAUGAGAUGAGAGAAUCACAUGAAGGAGCUCAAAGCCUAGCAAAAGCUGCUUUAUCGCUAGAUUUGGGGUGCCCCACCUGUGGGUUACAUACCCACCUGAAAUCGCUUGUAUCCCAAACGUUGUUUUGAGUUAAUAAAAACCUGGUGAUACCCCUCAAAAAAGCACUGCAGCAAUGCAAUGUAGCAACUACUCCCGCUAUAACCUUCUCCAAUACGUUUGUAGAGUCCAUGACAACAUUAAAAAACGACAUAUAUUAUAUUUGAGAAGAAGUAAUGUUCUAGCAUGGUACUGUAGUGGUCAUUUUUGGGGAAAAAUAGAACAACUUUUGGAAAGCCGUAGACAUCACCAGGGAAUGCCUGCCAGAGCUGCAGGUGCCCGGAGGGUGCGCGAGCGCGUGCGGCAAGUUCGGCGGCGACACGUACUGCUGCCGGGGCCAGUUCGAGCACAACUGCCCGCCGACGAACUACUCGAGGUUCUUCAAGGGCAAGUGCCCCGACGCCUACAGCUACGCCAAAGACGACCAGACCAGCACAUUCACCUGCCCCGCCGGAACCAACUACCAGAUCGUCCUCUGCCCCGCCCGAAAUGAUUUGCACAUGGAUCAGUAAGUAGAGGACGUACUACUCCUAGUAGUCUUCCUUGCUUAUUAUGAUCGUCGAUCAU
rnacentral:lncRNA from 1 species